rnacentral:rRNA from 2 species
GACUCGUCACACUAUCAUUAACUGAAUCCAUAGGUUAAUGAGGCGAACCGGGGGAACUGAAACAUCUAAGUACCCCGAGGAAAAGAAAUCAACCGAGAUUCCCCCAGUAGCGGCGAGCGAACGGGGAGGAGCCCAGAGCCUGAAUCAGCAUGUGUGUUAGUGGAAGCGUCUGGAAAGGCGCGCGAUACAGGGUGACAGCCCCGUACACAAAAGCGCAUAUGCUGUGAGCUCGAUGAGUAGGGCGGGACACGUGGUAUCCUGUCUGAAUAUGGGGGGACCAUCCUCCAAGGCUAAAUACUCCUGACUGACCGAUAGUGAACCAGUACCGUGAGGGAAAGGCGAAAAGAACCCCGGCGAGGGGAGUGAAAAAGAACCUGAAACCGU